rnacentral:rRNA from 1 species
CCUGGCUCAGGAUAACGCUAGCGGGAGGCUUAACACAUGCAAGCCGAGGGGUAGAAUUAGCUUGCUAAUUUGAGACCGGCGCACGGGUGCGUAACGCGUAUGCAACUUGCCCUACUGAAAAGGAUAGCCCAGAGAAAUUUGGAUUAAUACUUUAUAAUAGACUGAAUGGCAUCAUUUAGUUUUGAAAGAUUUAUCGCAGUAGGAUAGGCAUGCGUAAGAUUAGAUAGUUGGUGAGGUAACGGCUCACCAAGUCGACGAUCUUUAGGGGGCCUGAGAGGGUGACCCCCACACUGGUACUGAGACACGGACCAGACUCCUACGGGAGGCAGCAGUGAGGAAUAUUGGACAAUGGGUGGAAGCCUGAUCCAGCCAUCCCGCGUGUAGGAUGACGGCCUUAUGGGUUGUAAACUACUUUUAUCUGGGGAUAAACCUACUUACGUGUAAGUAGCUGAAGGUACCAGAAGAAUAAGCACCGGCUAACUCCGUGCCAGCAGCCGCGGUAAUACGGAGGGUGCAGCGUUAUCCGGAUUUAUUGGGUUUAAAGGGUCCGUAGGCGGACUGAUCUCAGUGGUGAAAUCCUAUCGCUUAACGAUAGAACUGCCAUUGAUACUGUUAGUCUUGAAUUAGUUUGAAGUGGCUGGAAUGUGUAGUGUAGCGGUGAAAUGCUUAGAUAUUACGCAGAACACCAAUUGCGAAGGCAGGUCACUAAGUCUAUAUUGACGCUGAUGGAC